rnacentral:lncRNA from 1 species
GUGAUUUAUAAGAAUGGUUGUAAAGCCAUCCACAUCUCAUUCACACUUUUCGAGUCGCGACGAUCGCAUCAGCAGGCGAGCGAAUCGGCGACAACUACGUACCUGAACGGUCUGGCUCGUCGUAAUGCUUUUCCAUCAUAGCCACAUGGCGCAAAAGUUAACGUCUAUCAAAAGAUAUAAUAUACUGUUAUGAAUUGCAUGCGCUGCUAUUCGGGCAUGUAUCGCCGCUGGACGCAGCG